GAUUGAACGCUGGCGGCAUGCCUUACACAUGCAAGUCGAACGGUAGCACGGGUGCUUGCACCUGGUGGCGAGCGGCGAACGGGUGAGUAAUACAUCGGAACAUGUCCUGUAGUGGGGGAUAGCCCGGCGAAAGCCGGAUUAAUACCGCAUACGAUCUACGGAUGAAAGCGGGGGACCUUCGGGCCUCGCGCUAUAGGGUUGGCCGAUGGCUGAUUAGCUAGUUGGUGGGGUAAAGGCCUACCAAGGCGACGAUCAGUAGCUGGUCUGAGAGGACGACCAGCCACACUGGGACUGAGACACGGCCCAGACUCCUACGGGAGGCAGCAGUGGGGAAUUUUGGACAAUGGGCGAAAGCCUGAUCCAGCAAUGCCGCGUGUGUGAAGAAGGCCUUCGGGUUGUAAAGCACUUUUGUCCGGAAAGAAAUCCUUGGCCCUAAUACGGUCGGGGGAUGACGGUACCGGAAGAAUAAGCACCGGCUAACUACGUG
rnacentral:rRNA from 1 species